rnacentral:rRNA from 1 species
GAUGAACGCUAGCAACAGGCCUAACACAUGCAAGUCGAGGGGCAGCACAUGAGUAGCAAUACGAUGGUGGCGACCGGCGCACGGGUGAGUAACACGUAUGCAACCUACCUGUAAGAGGGGCAUAACCCGGAGAAAUUCGGACUAAUACCGCAUAACACUGCCAUACCGCAUGGUAUAGCAGUUAAACAUUUAUGGUUUACAGAUGGGUAUGCGUAUGAUUAGAUAGUUGGUGAGGUAACGGCUCACCAAGUCAACGAUCAUUAGGGGUUCUGCAAGGAAGGUCCCCCACACUGGUACUAAGACACGGACCAGACUCCUAUGGGAGGCAGCAGUGAGGAAUAUUGGUCAAUGGGCGAGAGCCUGAACCAGCCAAGUCGCGUGAAGGAAGAAGGUUCUAUGAUUGUAAACUUCUUUUGUAAGGGAAUAAAAAGAGUUACGUGUAACUUAUUGUAUGUACUUUACGAAUAAGGAUCGGCUAACUCCGUGCCAGCAGCCGCGGUAA